rnacentral:rRNA from 1 species
GAUGAACGCUGGCGGCGUGCCUAAUACAUGCAAGUCGAGCGAACAGACGAGGAGCUUGCUCCUCUGACGUUAGCGGCGGACGGGUGAGUAACACGUGGAUAACCUCCCUAUAAGACUGGGAUAACUUCGGGAAACCGGAGCUAAUACCGGAUAAUAUAUUUAACCGCAUGGUUCAAUAGUGAAAGACGGUUUUGCUGUCACUUAUAGAUGGAUCCGCGCCGCAUUAGCUAGUUGGUAAGGUAACGGCUUACCAAGGCAACGAUGCGUAGCCGACCUGAGAGGGUGAUCGGCCACACUGGAACUGAGACACGGUCCAGACUCCUACGGGAGGCAGCAGUAGGGAAUCUGCCGCAAUGGGCGAAAGCCUGACGGAGCAACGCCGCGUGAGUGAUGAAGGUCUUCGGAUCGUAAAACUCUGUUAUUAGGGAAGAACAAAUGUGUAAGUAACUAUGCACGUCUUGACGGUACCUAAUCAGAAAGCCACGGCUAACUACGUG